rnacentral:rRNA from 1 species
GGGUUGUGAGGUUAAGCGACUAAGCGUACACGGUGGAUGCCCUGGCAGUCAGAGGCGAUGAAGGACGUGCUAAUCUGCGAUAAGCGCCGGUAAGGUGAUAUGAACCGUUAUAACCGGCGAUUUCCGAAUGGGGAAACCCAGUGUGACUCGUCACACUAUCAUUAACUGAAUCCAUAGGUUAAUGAGGCGAACCGGGGGAACUGAAACAUCUAAGUACCCCGAGGAAAAGAAAUCAACCGAGAUUCCCCCAGUAGCGGCGAGCGAACGGGGAGGAGCCCAGAGCCUGAAUCAGCAUGUGUGUUAGUGGAAGCGUCUGGAAAGGCGCGCGAUACAGGGUGACAGCCCCGUACACAAAAGCGCAUGUGCUGUGAGCUCGAUGAGUAGGGCGGGACACGUGGUAUCCUGUCUGAAUAUGGGGGGACCAUCCUCCAAGGCUAAAUACUCCUGACUGACCGAUAGUGAACCAGUACCGUGAGGGAAAGGCGAAAAGAACCCCGGCGAGGGGAGUGAAAAAGAACCUGAAACCGUGUACGUACAAGCAGUGGGAGCCCCACCACUAAGCCAGUGGUGAACUCCACAUACGCAUCCUUUGCUGAGGAUACGGUUAACGGAGCGAAAGCGACGUUCAACCUCAAAAGAAGCAGAGGGGGCUUAGUGGUGGGGUGACUGCGUACCUUUUGUAUAAUGGGUCAGCGACUUAUAUUCUGUAGCAAGGUUAACCGAAUAGGGGAGCCGGAGGGAAACCGAGUCUUAAUUGGGCGUUAAGUUGCAGGGUAUAGACCCGAAACCCGGUGAUCUAGCCAUGGGCAGGUUGAAGGUUGGGUAACACUAACUGGAGGACCGAACCGACUAAUGUUGAAAAAUUAGCGGAUGACCUGUGGCUGGGGGUGAAAGGCCAAUCAAACCGGGAGAUAGCUGGUUCUCCCCGAAAGCUAUUUAGGUAGCGCCUCGUGAAUUCAUCUCCGGGGGUAGAGCACUGUUUCGGCUAGGGGGCCAUCCCGGCUUACCAACCCGAUGCAAACUGCGAAUACCGGAGAAUGUUAUCACGGGAGACACACGGCGGGUGCUAACGUCCGUCGUGAAGAGGGAAACAACCCAGACCGCCAGCUAAGGUCCCAAAGUCAUGGUUAAGUGGGAAACGAUGUGGGAAGGCCCAGACAGCCAGGAUGUUGGCUUAGAAGCAGCCAUCAUUUAAAGAAAGCGUAAUAGCUCACUGGUCGAGUCGGCCUGCGCGGAAGAUGUAACGGGGCUAAACCAUGCACCGAAGCUGCGGCAGCGACGCUUAUGCGUUGUUGGGUAGGGGAGCGUUCUGUAAGCCUGUGAAGGUGUGUCGUGAGGCAUGCUGGAGGUAUCAGAAGUGCGAAUGCUGACAUAAGUAACGAUAAAGCGGGUGAAAAGCCCGCUCGCCGGAAGACCAAGGGUUCCUGUCCAACGUUAAUCGGGGCAGGGUGAGUCGACCCCUAAGGCGAGGCCGAAAGGCGUAGUCGAUGGGAAACGGGUUAAUAUUCCCGUACUUGGUGUUACUGCGAAGGGGGGACGGAGAAGGCUAUGUUGGCCGGGCGACGGUUGUCCCGGUUUAAGCGUGUAGGUGUGUGUUCCAGGUAAAUCCGGUUCACUUUAACACUGAGGCGUGAUGACGAGGCACUACGGUGCUGAAGCAACAAAUGCCCUGCUUCCAGGAAAAGCCUCUAAGCAUCAGGUAACAUCAAAUCGUACCCCAAACCGACACAGGUGGUCAGGUAGAGAAUACCAAGGCGCUUGAGAGAACUCGGGUGAAGGAACUAGGCAAAAUGGUGCCGUAACUUCGGGAGAAGGCACGCUGACACGUAGGUGAAGUGAUUUACUCAUGGAGCUGAAGUCAGUCGAAGAUACCAGCUGGCUGCAACUGUUUAUUAAAAACACAGCACUGUGCAAACACGAAAGUGGACGUAUACGGUGUGACGCCUGCCCGGUGCCGGAAGGUUAAUUGAUGGGGUCAGCGCAAGCGAAGCUCCUGAUCGAAGCCCCGGUAAACGGCGGCCGUAACUAUAACGGUCCUAAGGUAGCGAAAUUCCUUGUCGGGUAAGUUCCGACCUGCACGAAUGGCGUAAUGAUGGCCAGGCUGUCUCCACCCGAGACUCAGUGAAAUUGAACUCGCUGUGAAGAUGCAGUGUACCCGCGGCAAGACGGAAAGACCCCGUGAACCUUUACUAUAGCUUGACACUGAACAUUGAGCCUUGAUGUGUAGGAUAGGUGGGAGGCUUUGAAGUGUGGACGCCAGUCUGCAUGGAGCCGACCUUGAAAUACCACCCUUUAAUGUUUGAUGUUCUAACGUGGACCCGUGAUCCGGGUUGCGGACAGUGUCUGGUGGGUAGUUUGACUGGGGCGGUCUCCUCCUAAAGAGUAACGGAGGAGCACGAAGGUUGGCUAAUCCUGGUCGGACAUCAGGAGGUUAGUGCAAUGGCAUAAGCCAGCUUGACUGCGAGCGUGACGGCGCGAGCAGGUGCGAAAGCAGGUCAUAGUGAUCCGGUGGUUCUGAAUGGAAGGGCCAUCGCUCAACGGAUAAAAGGUACUCCGGGGAUAACAGGCUGAUACCGCCCAAGAGUUCAUAUCGACGGCGGUGUUUGGCACCUCGAUGUCGGCUCAUCACAUCCUGGGGCUGAAGUAGGUCCCAAGGGUAUGGCUGUUCGCCAUUUAAAGUGGUACGCGAGCUGGGUUUAGAACGUCGUGAGACAGUUCGGUCCCUAUCUGCCGUGGGCGCUGGAGAACUGAGGGGGGCUGCUCCUAGUACGAGAGGACCGGAGUGGACGCAUCACUGGUGUUCGGGUUGUCAUGCCAAUGGCACUGCCCGGUAGCUAAAUGCGGAAGAGAUAAGUGCUGAAAGCAUCUAAGCACGAAACUUGCCCCGAGAUGAGUUCUCCCUGAGACUUAGAGUCUCCUGAAGGAACGUUGAAGACGACGACGUUGAUAGGCCGGGUGUGUAAGCGCAGCGAUGCGUUGAGCUAACCGGUACUAAUGAACCGUGAGGCUUAACCUUACAACGCCGAAG